UCCGUAGGCGGGCAGCUCAGUCAGUGGUGAAAGUUUGCAGCUCAACUGUAAAAUUGCCAUUGAUACUGGUUGUCUUGAAUUAAUGUGAAGUGGUUAGAAUAUGUAGUGUAGCGGUGAAAUGCAUAGAUAUUACAUAGAAUACCAAUUGCGAAGGCAGAUCACUAACAUUAUAUUGACGCUGAUGGAUGAAAGCGUGGGGAGCGAACAGGAUUAGAUACCCUGGUAGUCC
rnacentral:rRNA from 1 species